UAUUAGAUGACUGAAAAUGUUAAGUAUUGAUCUUUUAAAUCAAUUAUAGUAAAUAAAAUUUUUAUAACUUUUACUUCUAAUAA
rnacentral:tRNA from 1 species